UCAAAGAUGACAGAUGCAAGAGGGGUCCAACUGCAUCAGUGAGAGCUGACCCUCACUGACAGGAGCAGGAACAGUCUGCUUUUACUAAGAGUGGAAAUGCCUCUGCUGAAAUGAUCUCUUGGAAAUAGGAAGAUGAAAGAAGAAAAUGUUCAAGUAGAUUGUAAAGCUAUAAACUGCUAUAAACCGAAGAAAAGUAAGAGUUGGAGGAUAGUGACUGAUCCGUAUCAUAUGCUGUCCUCAUGUGGUAUUGUUGUUGGAACUUAG
rnacentral:lncRNA from 1 species